rnacentral:rRNA from 1 species
GAACGAGACCUUCGGGUCUAGUGGCGCACGGGUGCGUAACGCGUGGGAAUCUGCCCAAAGGUACGGAAUAACUCUCCGAAAGGGGUGCUAAUACCGUAUGAUGUCGCAAGACCAAAGAUUUAUCGCCUUUGGAUGAGCCCGCGUAAGAUUAGGUAGUUGGUGGGGUAAAGGCCUACCAAGCCGACGAUCUUGAGCUGGUCUGAGAGGAUGAUCAGCCACACUGGGACUGAGACACGGCCCAGACUCCUACGGGAGGCAGCAGUGGGGAAUAUUGGACAAUGGGCGAAAGCCUGAUCCAGCAAUGCCGCGUGAGUGAUGAAGGCCCUAGGGUGUAAAGCUCUUUUACCCGGGAUGAUAAUGACAGUAUCCGGGAGAAUAAGCCCCGGCUAACUCCGUG